rnacentral:rRNA from 1 species
GAUGAACGCUGGCGGCGUGCCUAAUACAUGCAAGUCGAGCGAACAGACGAGGAGCUUGCUCCUCUGACGUUAGCGGCGGACGGGUGAGUAACACGUGGAUAACCUACCUAUAAGACUGGGAUAACUUCGGGAAACCGGAGCUAAUACCGGAUAAUAUAUUGAACCGCAUGGUUCUAUAGUGAAAGACGGUUUUGCUGUCACUUAUAGAUGGAUCCGCGCCGCAUUAGCUAGUUGGUAAGGUAACGGCUUACCAAGGCAACGAUGCGUAGCCGACCUGAGAGGGUGAUCGGCCACACUGGAACUGAGACACGGUCCAGACUCCUACGGGGGGCAGCAGUAGGGAAUCUUCCGCAAUGGGCGAAAGCCUGACGGAGCAACGCCGCGUGAGUGAUGAAGGUCUUCGGAUCGUAAAACUCUGUUAUUAGGGAAGAACAAAUGUGUAAGUAACUAUGCACGUCUUGACGGUACCUAAUCAGAAAGCCACGGCUAACUACGUG